UACGGAGGGUGCAAGCGUUAAUCGGAAUUACUGGGCGUAAAGCGCACGUAGGUGGUUUGUUAAGCCAGCUGUGAAAUCCCCGGGCUCAACCUGGGCACUGCAGUUGGAACUGGCAAGCUAGAGUAGGGUAGAGGGGUGUGGAAUUCCAGGUGUAGCGGUGAAAUGCGUAGAUAUCUGGAGGAACAUCAGUGGCGAAGGCGACUCCCUGGACUCAUACUGACACUGAGGUGCGAAAGCGUGGGGAGCAAACAGG
rnacentral:rRNA from 1 species